AGAUAGCUGGUUCUCCUCGAAAUAGCUUUAGGGCUAGCCUCAUGGAUCAUUGGUGGGGGUAGAGCACUGAAUGUGCGCGGGGGCCACAAAGCCUACCAAACGCUAUCAAACUUCGAAUACCAUACAAUGCAGACCAUGGGAGUCAGUCCGCGAGAGAUAAGUUCCGCGGGCAAAAGGGGAACACCCCAGAUCAACCGCUAAGGUCCCCAAGUUCACGUUAAGUGGAGAAGGAUGUGGAAUUGCACAGACAACCAGGAUGUUGGCUCAGAAGCAGCCACACAUUUAAAGAGUGCGUAAUAGCUCACUGGUCGAGUGAUUGUGCGCCGAAGAUGUCCGGGGCUAAACGUGACACCGAAGCGAUGGGUGCAUCUGAAGAAGAUGCGCGGUAGAGGAGCAAUGUGCAGAGGCAGAAGCCGUAUCGAGAGGCACGGUGGACACUGCACAAGAGAGAAUGCCGGUAUGAGUAGCGAGAGGCAUGCGAGAAACAUGCCCGUCGAAAGCCCAAGGUUUCCUGGGGAAGGUUCAUCCGCCCAGGGUAAGUCGGGGCCUAAGCCGAGGACGGAAGUCGUAGGCGAUGGACAGCAGGUGUAGAUUCCUGCACUACCGAUGGAAUGAAGCAGUGACACAGAAGGAUAACUCGAGCAGGGUGAUGGUCAACCCUGUGCAAGCAUUGAGGUUGGGUUGUAGUGAAGUACGCAAUCCUAUAAGCUGAGAUGUGAUGCGGACCGAAAUUUCAGUAGGGAAGCGAGUGAGUUCACGCUGGCGAGAAAAGCUGCUAGUACAUCCAAAGGUACCCGUACCGGAAACCGACGCAGGUGGGCGAGGAGAGAAUCCUGAGACGAACGGGAGAACCCUUGUUAAGGAACUCGGCAAAAUGACCCCGUAACUUCGGGAUAAGGGGUGCCUGCGAGAGCAGGCCGCAGAGAAUAGUCACAAGCGACUGUUUAGCAAAAACACAGGUAUCUGCGAAAGCGAGAGCUGACGUAUAGGUGCUGACACCUGCCCGGUGCUGGAAGGUUAAGGGAACAUGUUAGAGCAAUCGAAGCAUCGAACCGAAGCCCCAGUAAACGGCGGCCGUAACUAUAACGGUCCUAAGGUAGCGAAAUUCCUUGUCGGGUAAGUUCCGACCCGCACGAAUGGUGUAACGAUUUGGGUACUGUCUCAACAAGGGACCCGGCGAAAUUGUAGUAUGUGUGAAGAUGCACAUUACCCGCGAUAGGACGGAAAGACCCCGUAGAGCUUUACUGUAGUUUAACAUUGGAUUCCGGUAACAUAUGCACAGGAUAGGUGGGAGGCGGAGAAGCAGUGAUUUCGGUUGCUGCAGAGCCGACGUUGGGAUACCACUCUUGUGUUACUGGGGUUCUAACCUGUGGCCGUGAUCCGGCACAGGAACAGUGUUAGAUGGGCAGUUUGACUGGGGCGGUCGCCUCCAAAAGAGUAACGGAGGCGUCCAAAGGUUCCCUCAGAAUGGUUGGAAACCAUUCGAAGAGUACAAAGGCAGAAGGGAGCCUGACUGCGAGACCGACAGGUCGAGCAGGGACGAAAGUCGGGCUUAGUGAUCCGGCGGUAUAGAGUGGAAUUGCCGUCGCUCAACGGAUAAAAGCUACCUCGGGGAUAACAGGCUUAUCUCCCCCAAGAGUCCACAUCGACGGGGAGGUUUGGCACCUCGAUGUCGGCUCGUCGCAUCCUGGGGCUGAAGCAGGUCCCAAGGGUUUGGCUGUUCGCCAAUUAAAGCGGCACGCGAGCUGGGUUCAGAACGUCGUGAGACAGUUCGGUCCCUAUCCAUCGUGGGCGCAGGAGAUUUGAGAAGAGCUGUCCUCAGUACGAGAGGACCGGGAUGGACGCACCAAGGGUGUAUCAGUUGUCACGCCAGUGGCACAGCUGGGUAGCCAAGUGCGGAUCGGAUAAACGCUGAAGGCAUCUAAGCGUGAAGCCGACUUCAAGAUAAGAUCUCCCAUCCGCAAGGAGUAAGGCCCCAUGUAGACCACAUGGUUGAUAGGUCGCAGGUGGAAGUGCAGUAAUGUACGCAGCUGAGCGAUACUAAUAGGCCGAGGGCUUGAUCA
rnacentral:rRNA from 1 species